GGAGAGGUGGCCGAGUGGCUGAAGGCGGCGGUUUGCUAAACCGUUAAACGAGUAAGCUCGUUUCGAGGGUUCGAAUCCCUCUCUCUCCGCCA
rnacentral:tRNA from 1 species